rnacentral:lncRNA from 1 species
UUUACACUCUUAAAUGCUUAAUGACGCUACGUAGCAUCGAACGCCUGGCAUUUACACUCUUAAAUGCUAAACAACGCUAACGUAGCAUCGUUAGCUACCCGGUUUUAUACACGCUAGAGAAAUGUACGUAGACGGUGAUUGAUUGAUUGUCUGUCCGCGCCAGAGCUGGCGUCCGGCGAGGACCCCGACGUCCCUCUGGUAGCCCAGGAACUGAUGAGGAGGAUGGUCCGGCAGUUUGCUGCGGAGUACGCCUCCAAGACGCGCCUCACCACCUCGACCGACACGGGCUCCCGGCGUCCGGACCUCGACACGCCUCUAGACCUCACUGUGACGCGGAACCAGGAGGAGGAACCCACACCAGCUGACACUGUGCUCGACCUCUCCAAGCGGAACUCUGCCAGCUCGGCCUCCACAUCACCCACCAAUCACAAAGCCUCAGGGUGAGUGUCUCUCCUCUCAUUGGUCCAUACUCCACAUCACCCACCAAUCACAAAGCCUCAGGGUGAGUGUCUCUCCUCUCAUUGGUCCAUACUCCACAUCACCCACCAUUCACAAAGCCUCAGGGUGAGUGUCUCUCCUCUCAUUGGUCCAUACUCCACAUCACCCACCAUUCACAAAGCCUCAGGGUGAGUGUCUCUCCUCUCAUUGGUCCAUACUCCACAUCGCCCACCAAUCACAAAGCCUCAGGGUGAGUGUCUCUCCUCUCAUUGGUCCAUACUCCACAUCGCCCACCAAUCACAAAGCCUCAGGGUGAGUGUCUCUCCUCUCAUUGGUCCAUACUUCACAUCACCCACCAAUCACAAAGCCUCAGGGUGAGGUGUCUCUCCUCUCAUUGGUCCAUACUCCACAUCGCCCACCUAUCACAAAGCCUCAGGGUGAGGUGUCUCUCCUCUCAUUGGUCCAAACUAGCACGCUACUUAGUAUGCAUAGCCAAUAGAGUAGUGGGGACAGUGUUAGGCGGUCUGUAUCAGUAGUCUGUCUAGGGGUGGGUGUAGUGGGGACAGUGUUAGGUGGUCUGUAUCAGUAGUCUGUCUAGGGGUGGGUGUAGUG